UACGGAGGGUGCGAGCGUUAAUCGGAAUCACUGGGCGUAAAGCGCGCGUAGGCGGUCUGUUAAGUGGGAUGUGAAAUCCCCGGGCUUAACCUGGGAAUUGCAUUUCAAACUGGCCGACUAGAGUACGGUAGAGGGAGGUAGAAUUUCCUGUGUAGCGGUGAAAUGCGUAGAUAUAGGAAGGAAUACCAGUGGCGAAGGCGGCCUCCUGGAUCGAUACUGACGCUGAGGCGCGAAAGCGUGGGGAGCAAACAGG
rnacentral:rRNA from 1 species